CAACGCCAUGUGUUAUUAUUCCAAACACAAGUGGUAACCGAUUUUCAGCCUGUUAAACAUUUGAAACUAAGUCAUCUCCAACGUGAAAUCAGGCCAAACUUCUCGUGACGGAUUGCUGAUUAUGACACCAUGACAACAUGAGAACAAGUAGCAUACUGGUAACCUUGAAAAUGUACUGAAACCUCAAAGUUCUGCAGAGAAUGUUCUCUUUGGAAAAAUGUAGGGUUGCAGUAUCAGCAAGGAACCACAAGAGGCUUAUGGUACUCUCUACGAUCCACGCACAACUUACCACACGCCCCAUUGAGAGCAAGAACCACUAAUUGCGACCAUGAGGAGGUUACCCCAUGUGACUCUACCCUCCCUAGCAACCGUGCUUAGGAGACCUGGCUGGAGUCACUCAGCACAUCCUGGAUUCUAACUUGUGAAUCCAGGGGUGGUAGUUGGCGUCAACUCGAUGAGCUACCCAGCCCCCCAUGUUUACAUUUAUAAUUGUUUGUAGAUCUUAAUUUGUAUUAGUAAUUUUCCACCUGUUGUAUAGACUGUUGGUAUAGACGGAUACUUGGGUGAUGGUAAAAGAAAAGGUGGUUAUAUGUAUAUAUAUAAUUUAUUAUGUAUAUAUUUUAUUUUUGACCACUUCAUUAUUUUAAUUGCUUUUUCAUUUUGUUUAAAGUACAGUUUGAAUUUAGAAAUGUCUUUGGUUUAAGAUUGUUUUAAAUAAAUGAGUUUAAUUUUCAAUGCAAAAUCACUAAAGCAAGAAUAUUCACCAAUCCCUCAGCUGGGGGUUGACAAUGUAAUUGGAUA